UUCUCGGUGGUCUAGUGGUUAAGACUCUGUGCUCCUAACACAGGGGGCCCAGGUUUGAUCCCUGGUGGGGGGG
rnacentral:tRNA from 1 species